rnacentral:rRNA from 1 species
GAUGAACGCUGGCGGCGUGCCUAAUACAUGCAAGUCGAGCGAACGGACGAGAAGCUUGCUUCUCUGAUGUUAGCGGCGGACGGGUGAGUAACACGUGGAUAACCUACCUAUAAGACUGGGAUAACUUCGGGAAACCGGAGCUAAUACCGGAUAAUAUUUUGAACCGCAUGGUUCAAAAGUGAAAGACGGUCUUGCUGUCACUUCUAGAUGGAUCCCCGCUGCAUUAGCUAGUUGGUAAGGUAACGGCUUACCAAGGCAACGAUGCAUAGCCGACCUGAGAGGGGGAUCGGCCACACUGGAACUGAGACACGGUCCAGACUCCUACGGGAGGCAGCAGUAGGGAAUCUUCCGCAAUGGGCGAAAGCCUGACGGAGCAACGCCGCGUGAGUGAUGAAGGUCUUCGGAUCGUAAAACUCUGUUAUGAGGGAAGAACAUAUGUGUAAGUAACUGUGCACAUCGUGACGGUACCUAAUCAGAAAGCCACGGCUAACUACGUG